CGGACCUCUGUUUCCUAGCAACAAGGCCAGAUGUCCUGGAUCACUGUGGGAGGCCAGCGCGAAUCUAAGGGGAUGUUUUGGCUCGAUGUUAAUGUUACAUAAGGGCUCUUUAUGUCAAAGAACUUAAGGUGCCCUCUCAGAAUGGUUGUUUUCUGAGGAACUUACAAGAUGGAAGUUUCUCCAAUACUGUCAACAUUCCAGCAACCCUAAGGGAAACUAUUUGAGAAUCCUCCUGACCAGACCUUUGCCCCCCAGGUAUUUGUGUUAUUCAGCCAGAACCG